rnacentral:lncRNA from 1 species
CCCCUGUAGAAGGAGCACGCAAAGCCCGCUGUGAGCGAAGAACCUGCCUAAGACCCCAAGGGAAAGCAGCAGACCCUGGGGGUCUUGCAGUGUGUAGCGACAGAUUGAGGUGGGAAGCCAGGAAGGAUGGGGGUAUUUGAGCCAGGUAGCUUUUCAGAUACAGAGCAGAUGAGACCUGUCAGCCACCGAUGGACAUACUCAAGAGCAGAAGAGACUGUGGUCGGCAGAAUGGAAGAACAGUACUCCUGGGGAGGCACCACGACGGGCAUGGGGGUCCCUGUGCUGAGUGCUUUCUGCAAAGUCACAGCCUUGACUUUCCUCGUGGGAGGUGUGAGUUCCCUGUGUGUGCAGGGCCUGGACCCAGUAACCCAGUGACAGUGGUUACAGCUGUGGCAUCUGCGGGAUGUCUGAGAAUGAUGUAAGGAGAGGCCGUUCCCAGGCUCCAUGGCUCCCCUUAACAAUUGCACCUAUUGUUCGGAGAACCCCAGAUACUGCUGGCUUGGGAGUUUUUUUUUUUUUUUCUCCUUAUUGUUUUCUCCCUAAUUGUUUUCUUCUAGGAUUCUGUUAUUUGGGCCAUGGCUGCUUUCCACCCCCCAACUCCAGUAUUAUUGGAUGAGUUGAUUGAAAGAUACCCCUUAUCCUUCUUCAGACAAGCUCUCUUUCCCUGGUGUGGUUGCUGCUCUGAGUUAAGGGAACGGGAGAUGAUACUGACUAGAAAUUCAUCAGCCCCGGUGUUUACUACGUCCUAACCUCCGCCCCCACCCCAAGGCCACGACCGC